UGACGUAGUUGUCUUCUCCACCAUGAGGUGGCCGCGGAGGAGGGAGCGACGGCACGUCAUAGCCAUGCAUCUGAAAAAAAAACAUCAAAUGAUUUGCUAAAUUUAAUGUACUAAGAAACCCUUACCUGACUAACCAACUGCUGGAAAGCCGCGCUGUGAUGAGGGGCCCGAUCGAGAUCAGCAUGAAGGGCGAAAUCCGAUAGCGCCUUCCACGGGGGUUGGUAUGCCGUCACCUCCAGUGCGAGGGACCCUGCGGGCUCAUGACGCACCGGGGACCCUGCCACUAGGGGCACCCCCAUCGACAUGUACCCCAGGCGACGACCUUCCUGUGAAAAAUGGAGGAUUAUUUGGUGUGGGCGCGAAGAGCUGCCUUUUCCUCGGAGUAAGUCUUCCCGUCUCUAACGAAGCAAGUGCACGACUCGUCGAGGAACUGGCGGCACUCCUGGCACUUGAGGCAGGCGGCGUGCCACUCCAGGUCCGGCGCCACUCGCAGGAUGUACUGGUCGUGGAUCUGAC